GUCUACAUUGAUGUGUUUGACCAGGUGUGAAAGAUUGCUAAAUGAAGCAUAAUUGUAAAAUCUAAGAUUAAUUUAUAGUGUUGAUUAGCAUGCACUUGUAUGUUGCAUACUCUUUGCUUCUAUUUUUGUGAUGUAACUUGGCAUAUGGAAGGAAUCCCACUGGCACGGUGGUUAAAUUUUAUAUUUUGUUCUUUUGCUCCAUUAUACAUUUUAGAUAGGCCAUGUACCUUUUGGUAAUAUCUGCAUCAUGAAAAAGCAAUACUUGUGACCAUCUUGUUGCUUCAUUCGUGCCAUCUGUAUGCUUGUGCUUUGCUAGAGAUAGAAAUCAUAUAUGCAUUCUAACUGCAAAUUGUCAUGGUUCGAUGAACUGUGUUUUAUUCCAAGCAGUGUUAUUAAGGUGAGAGGUGACACUAAGGUGGGUGAGAGGAGAGGCGAGGUGAGGGCCUUUUAGAAGUGAGGCACUUAGCCUAUAU
rnacentral:misc_RNA from 1 species